CCUCUCCUGUGCUCGAUCUCAAUCCCCGCGCAUCUUCUUUCGGUAUGGGCAACCUCUCCACACAUCCGCCCCCGCCCCAGCUGUAGGUCUUCCUCCAGACGACGACGGCGGUGCCAAAGGGCCCCACAUCCCAACUGGAAGGCAGAUCCCUAGACCCAUAUCCCCUCCCUUUGCAGUCCAGGAUGAGGCCCUGGAUUCCCGCCCAGGAGGAUCCGGCGGUUGAGGUGGAGUAGGAGGUCGCGGUGGUGUGGAGGAGGUCUGGGAGUACGUGGAGCCGUCGGAGGAGGCCAUGGUGUACGUGUGCGACCUUCCCUACGACGUCAGCAGCAAGCGCCUUGCAGCUCUUCGAUCAGGUCGGCGUCGUCAAGGUUGCCGAGGUGAGCAGCUCUUCCUCUUAGACCAUCUUCAGCGUUGGAUGCUAGCAAAAGGUGCUGGGAUUUGUUGACCAUCUUCAACGCUGGAUGGUAGCAAAAGGUUCUGGGAUUUGUUUCCCAGUCGAUCGGCAGUUGAGCCUCAUCGGUGGAUGCGUCAAGCGCAGGCCAGCGUCGUUGAGGUUACUGUGGUGAGCAGCUCUUCCUCUUAGAUGAUAGCAUAAGGUGGUAUGAUUAGUUUCACAGUGAAUAUGUGGCAUCGGCGACAAAAGAUACAUCAAGCGCUUGGGUAUUAUCCUCCGCGUGAGGGGGAGGAUUUCCACAGUAUCCAUAGGCUGGUUAACCUGUUUGGAAUUGAACUCCCUGAAUUGGCGUCAAGCUUGGCAACUACAGAAUACAUUGUCUCAAGGUAUAAUAGCCCUUGAUUCUCUAACAAUCGCUGAUGCAUGAAUUGCAGCAAGGUGAACCCAAAAUCUCUUGUGUGAAUCACAUUGCUUCCAAUGAUUUCAUGACUGAGUUCUCGGGAUUUAAGAUUUUGUAUUUUCUUGUUUAAUUUCUUUUCUUUUGGAGGAGAACGAGAUGCAGCCUGUAAAUAUGCGACUUUACAAGUUUAGCUGAAUAAACAAAUAUAUCCUCUGUAAGUUGAUGUAUAGAAAAGUGGAUCCUUGCAUAGGUUUUGUAUUAUAUAUAUUUAACUCAGUAUAGUUAACAUUUUUUUCAUUUUCUCCGGGAACUUUUCAGAUAUCAUCUGCACCUCAGAUAAGUAAUAUUAACUUGCUAAAAGUAAGAAAGGUAACACAAGGUUUGCAAGUUUGACAAAGUUUUCCCUUCGUUCUUGAAUGUAGCUAAUUUUCUUUUUAGUCAAACUGUUGUAGCCAUGGCGACAAAAACAUUACUUUCACAUUGUUGCUAGCUGUGAUGUUUGUCAAAGUUGAAUAGAAGAAAUAGCGUGCAGUGUCAAAGUUGGAUAGAAGAAACAGCGCGCAGUGACACGCAAAGUGGGUUUAUAAAAUAAGUGACAACGCCAAUUUAUUUCUCCCGGUGUAACACACGGCCCUAUGUGCUAUACAUAAAAGGGAGGAGGAAGUAUGUUCAUGCACUGGAAGCUUUACUGAGUCAUGAUGCACAUUGAGAAGUUAGUGGUGUGUUCUUCCUUUCUUUUGAAAUAAUUGUUGAAUAAUGGAAAAAGGGCACUACCGUUGGGGUGAAACCCAUCAUAUUUCUAAUGGUAUACAAUCAAAAUCAGGGUGAGACCAGAUGUUAUACUGAAAAUCUCAGGUUAUUGAGCACAAUUUUGUUUCCAUUGCAAUGUACGGGUAUGUUUGGCAUGCAAUGAUGAUAUCUAAUUGCAUUUCUUUUUGAACUAUUUAAACUGAAAUCAUUUAUCGAUUUUGUCAGAAAUCUUAUCCCAAUACUUCUGACCGCUACUGUACUUCGACCAUAGAAAUUGUUUAAACUUGCCAUGUGCCAAAUAACCAACGGUACAGAGGCCAUGCAACUGGGAACGUCAAGUAAGAGCAUAUACAACAGACCCAUUUUUACUUAUUCGGUUUCUUGAGAAGGUUAUGGGAUUUUCAAACUGAAAAUAUUAAUUGUUUGAAAAAUCUUUUUGAACCAAAAUUGUUUCAACAAUGUUGUUCUGCUAUAGUUGCCUGAUUAUUUGCAAAGUUGAGUGGUAUUUUUUCAACUGUCUAAGAAUAUGUUUAUUUAUUUUGUACCCGGUGCAACGCACGGGCCCUUUUGCUAGUCGUAGCUAAAGCAUGAUCCAAUCUAACUCGGUAGUAAUCACUAUUUUGAGUUUUCCUCUCAAAAGUCUAGUCCAGUCCAUUAUAGCCCAAGUCACACAAUUGAUAGACAUCGACUAUUUCUCUGAAUGCAUUUAUGAUUUAUUUGACCCAUGUCGUGCUCAUUUUAACCAAAUUGCUCUUCUCGCCUCAAAACCUUGUUCAAAUCUCCAAUGCAAAGCGAUGGAAGAUCGCAAUGAGCCUUCAAAAAGCGCAUCAUGUCGCAAUACAUCAAGGUCCUGUUAGCCUCUCCAUAACAAAAUGUUAGCCUUCAUGGCUCUGCUCCUGUCUCUUUCACAGUCACAUCUAAAGUGAUAUUUUGAAGAAGAAAAAAAAUCCUCAAUUCCAAAUCAAACAGCCUCUUCUCCGUUGUGGCCACUACUACCAACUCCAUAGGUACCAUCAAAACCCAGAGUUCCAACCAAGCCUUCCAUGUGACACUUCGCAAUUUGCGUCUCCACCAUGCAAAGAAUCAUCACGCACUCUCCCACACGAGGUUGUGCAACAUAUAAACUAUCGCAGGGUUGCCUAGCCCGCGAUAGUUCCAACAUAGGAUAGACAUUAGGCCUAGCGGUCCUCCUCGAGGGAGGCCACCGAUGCUGCCAAACUUUCUGUCUUGCUUUGGUGGUGUUGCUUUUUUAGUUUCUUCUUUUCCCACGGGGAUAUGUAUUAGGGUGGUGGUAGUCGUAUCAUGCGUCGUUGCCCCGUCAUCUGCAAAGUCGAGGGUUUUCCUCGUUGUGCUCCCAUCUUCUCCUUUCUCCUCACCUCCCUCGCUAGUCGGCUUUAGGGGAAUAGACACCAUAUCUAAUUCAUCAUCGUCAUCACAUAGACCAACCUCCUGAGAAGAUAUCUUCCUUGGCACUGUACAAUGUUUCGUUGUUCUUCCCCUUCCCACUAGUAGAAAAGGUGCUAGCCACAAAUUUCAUUGGUGGCGCGACAUUUUACAUCCACGCCAACACUAUUUUUUUUUAAAUAGUGCUGGCGUAGGCCAAAUCCGUACGCCAGCUUUACAAGCAUAGUGCUGACAUUGAUUGUUUUGUAAACGCCACAAAUCUAUUGCCCCAUAUACACUCACCAUUUGGAAACCACUGGUGACAUUGGUUUUCUUUGCACGCCAUAGUUAUUUUGGUAGUGCUGGCGUUAUUUUUCUUUGCACGCCAUAUAUAGUAUAUAAUUAUAUUAUGCUUGUUUUGCCAUCAUUUUAUUUGGCCUGUGAUUAGCUAUGGCGUUGCCAUUUUUUCCAACGCCAGCAAUGACCUAGUAAAAUACCUAAGUCCACUGCCGCUCGCUCUCAUUUCACACCCCACCCGGCCCGGUCGUAGCUAGCUAGACACAACUCCCGUUGGACCAAAGCCGCCGCCGCCGCCCCGUCGCCGCCCCUCACCGGCACCAAGGUUAGAUCCACUCCUCCGUUCACGCGGACACGCCAAACGGCCAGAAAUUGUAGUGAUAACCGUCCGAUUGCUAUUGUGUCCCCCCUCCGUUGGCAAAUCUGAGCAAGUUUAGUAGAAAUUAUGUAUAGGUUGACUGGCAUAUGUAAAUCAAAUUGUUAAAAUUGUAGAUCAGGGUUCCAUUGUUUACUCCCAUAAAAGAACAUAAUUUUCUUUGUUUACUUGACAAGUUGACAUGCCUCUGUAUAGAUCAGUUAGGUUGUAGAAUUUGUGUAAGUGUAUUAGAUCACUUGCCAUACGUUGAUUGGAAUUAUUAUCAACUUGCUUGUUAUUAUUGUUAGGUUUGGUUCUUGUCAGCACUAAGGAAAUUAUUGUUUGACAUUCUGAUGCUAUCUAUAUAUAUAUUUUUGUAGUGAUUGACAGAAGUUAUUCUUAUAUAUGAUAGUAUGUGUAUGUAUAGAAGUCAGUUUUUGCUAUAUCUUAUUUAUCAAAAUAGAUUCAUAAUUUUAUCUAUUCUACUUAAUUAACAAAAUCAUAUAUUUCCAACACAUGAACUAUUGUACAUUGCAUAUUAUCUUGAUCGUAUAUAUACGCGAUGUGUUUGUAGGUCAUGGCCAAUUCUGGAGGCAACAACGAGUCGGUGUGCGAUGUGGACAUGGCCAACAAUGAAUUCUUAAACACUUCUGAGUAUGCCAUCAAGAGCGUGCAAGGGGCAAAUGACGAUCUAAAGGGGAGAUUAAAGAGCUACGCAAUGCUGUCAAGAAAGUGCCCGGCUUUCUCAGAUGCUUCCCCAACCUGGAGACGCUCCAUGUGCAGUCCUCAAAAAAAUGUGAACAGUCCACUGGCAAGGUGAAUCUCAAGUUCUGGCAGGAGGGCGGUCCGAUGAAAUGUGUGACACAGAGCUUGAAGAAGGUGUUGUUCUACGAGUUCCAAGGGUUGAAAAGCGAGGUUGCUUUCCUCAAGUUCAUCGCGGAGAGAGGGCGGGUGCUAGAGAAGAUGGUGGUUGUGGUGGCCAGCGAAUGUUUCUCUCCGGUGGGUAAUGUGGGUGCCAAGUUGAAGCCUCUGGUGAGCGCAAAAUGGAGCAGCAAAGCUUGCAAGCUCGAGCUCGUCAAGAGCCGAUACGAGGAGGUGAGAUGCCCGGUUUACUGCCACGAACUAGCUAGUGAUUUUGGGUUUGCUGACCCUUUUGACCUCAAGUACUACGACGAAACAAAAAGGAUCUUUGUACGUUAAUUAGUACUCCCCUGGAUCCAUUAUAAGUGUUGCAGUUUUGAGCUAACCCCAAUUCAAAAUAGCGACACUUAUUUUGUAUGAGAGGGAGUAGCUCUUUGAUAAGA